AAGUCGUAACAAGGUUUCCGUAGGUGAACCUGCGGAAGGAUCAUUGCCGAACGGACGCGCGCCGCCUCUGCCCUCCUCGCUUCCGCGAGUGGCGGCCCGGCCGCGUCUUAUCGCACACCCAUGUGAACUCGUGAUCGUGACCCUGGACGGUGGCGGCCCGCCGCCGCCGAUCCGGCUCCCUUCUCAAUCAACCACAACGUACCCACUUGUCUGAGACAAACACAGGUGAAGUCGCGCCUCNAAACGCGGCUCUCGCCGACAAGACAUAACCUAUUACAACUUUUAACAACGGAUAUCUUGGCUCGCGCAUCGAUGAAGAACGCANCGAAAUGCGAUAAGUAGUGUGAAUUGCAGAUCAAGCGAAUCAUCGAAGUUUUGAACGCAAGUUGCGGUGCAUGGAUCUUCCGUGCACCAUGCCUGCUUGAGUGUCUGUAACCCACCUCGAGCGGCGGCCGCCUUUCACGGGCGGCCGUGCGGCUCGGAUCUGGACGCUCCGCGCCCCAAGGCGACAUCCGUGUCGCCGCAGGCCCGGUCGCCUCAAGUGNAGACGCCGUCCGAACGCGCGCUCGCGUCGUGACNCCNNNACGCGGUAAGGGAUCUAACCGUUCCUCCUAACGUUGAGGCGCUUCAUUGCUCGCGCACGCUCGGUGACACAGCGGCGGCAAAGGAACCGACUGCCNCCACACAACGGCGGCAGUCAUCCAUCAACAUUUGACCUCAAGUCAGGCAAGAGGACCCGCUGGAUUUA
rnacentral:rRNA from 1 species